AGCAGCUGGACAGAGAGGAGCUUCUGGAGCUAAGAUGCGAGAACCGCAGGGUGAGAUCCUAUUUAGUUUACAUGCCUAAAUAGUGGGAGAGAUCCAGUGACAUCCCCUGCUUCCCAGCACAGUGACCCUUAAAUCUGGUUCCCUUGGCAGCUGAAAAAGAGAGCAAUGUGGGACCGGGAGGAAGAGAGCAAAUCAGAGGGUAUAUAGUUAAUGAUGAAGCCUCUCUACCAAAGUGACACCUGUUCUUCACGGAACACACUCUGUGGCAUGUUGUUUCCACUCAAAGAUGCAGUAGUCUCAUCCUAGUAUUUAUUGAAUAACCAAGAAGCUGUGAAGAAUUUGGAUGAAGGAGCUAACUUGGCAUCCCUUCCCUCUCCUUGUGUGUUCUGACUUCACCAUAUGCUGUUUUUAUCUCUGUCUUUGGAGACGUGCUUCAUAGAAUGCUGUGUACUAAGGAGAUAAAGCUUUAUGUGAUGAGACUAUCCAGAUCAAGCUUAAAGUUUGACAAGCUUCAGGUUUCCAAGCUAUUUCAUACAUGACUCCCACUGAUCAUUUAGGAUUGUUUAUAGGUUUCAGGCUGGUGAAGAGCUGUGGUUUCUUUGGGCACUUUUAUACGCGCUCUGACACAUUCUGAUUAGAACGUGUGGGAGCAGACUUGAUUAAACGACUCUGCUGGAGU